rnacentral:rRNA from 1 species
UACGGAGGAUCCAAGCGUUAUCCGGAAUUACUGGGCGUAAAGAGUUGCGUAGGUGGCAUUGUAAGUCGGUAGUGAAAGCGUGGGGCUCAACCCCAUAUACAUUAUUGAAACUGCAAAGCUAGAGGACGAGAGAGGUUAUUGGAAUUCCAAGUGUAGGAGUGAAAUCCGUAGAUAUUUGGAGGAACACCGAUGGCGUAGGCAGAUAACUGGCUCGUUCCUGACACUAAGGCACGAAAGCGUGGGGAGCAAACGGG